rnacentral:rRNA from 1 species
UAAGGAAUAUUGGUCAAUGGACGCAAGUCUGAACCAGCCAUGCCGCGUGGAGGAUGAAGGUCCUCUGGAUUGUAAACUUCUUUUAUCUGGGACGAAACACUUCUUUUCUAAGAGGCCUGACGGUACCAUUUAUAAGCUCCGGCUAACUACGUGCCAGCAGCCGCGGUAAUACGUAGGGAGCAAGCGUUGUUCGGAUUUACUGGGCGUAAAGGGCGCGUAGGCGGCGCGGUAAGUCACUUGUGAAAUCUCUGAGCUUAACUCAGAACGGCCAAGUGAUACUGCUGUGCUAGAGUGCGGAAGAGGCAACCGGAAUUCUUGGUGUAGCGGUGAAAUGCGUAGAUAUCAAGAGGAACACCUGAGGCGAAGGCGGGUUGCUGGGCCGACACUGACGCUGAUGCGCGAAAGCCAGGGGAGCAAACA